GAUGAACGCUGGCGGCGUGCCUAAUACAUGCAAGUCGAGCGAAUGGAUUAAGAGCUUGCUCUUAUGAAGUUAGCGGCGGACGGGUGAGUAACACGUGGGUAACCUGCCCAUAAGACUGGGAUAACUCCGGGAAACCGGGGCUAAUACCGGAUAACAUUUUGAACCGCAUGGUUCGAAAUUGAAAGGCGGCUUCGGCUGUCACUUAUGGAUGGACCCGCGUCGCAUUAGCUAGUUGGUGAGGUAACGGCUCACCUAGGCAACGAUGCGUAGCCGACCUGGGAGGGGGAUCGGCCACACUGGGACUGAGACACGGACCAGACUCCUACGGGAGGCAGCAGUAGGGAAUCGUCCGCAAUGGACGAAAGUCUGACGGAGCAACGCCGCGUGAGUGAUGAAGGCUUUCGGGUCGUAAAACUCUGUUGUUAGGGAAGAACAAGUGCUAGUUGAAUAAGCUGGCACCUUGACGGUACCUAACCAGAAAGCCACGGCUAACUACGUGCCAGCAGCCGCGGUAA
rnacentral:rRNA from 1 species